UAUAAGGGAUUUUGAGUUUUUGCUUGCACUGUUUGACCACUCAUCUUAUUCAAAAAAAUUUUGGAAUUAUUUUUUUUGUGACUUACUUUAUUAUCCAAAGUACUUUAAGCAUAACUUUUUGUUUUUUGUAUUUGCACAAAAUUUUUGAAUAAGACGAGUGGUCAAACAGUGCAAGCAAAAACUCAAAAUCCCUUAUA
rfam:Oryza rufipogon genomic scaffold, chr01